CCCUGGAGGGGUAAAUAUAUAUAUAUAUAUAUAUAUAUAUACAAGCAGCAGAAACGUACAAAAAUUACAACCUAAUCUACGUGAACUAUAAGUGCAGUCAAAAAUACACAUUUUAUGCCCUAAACUUCAAAACUGUGAGUACUUUAUAAGCAACGACUGGGAGCUCUAUAAGGAAAACCAAAACAUUGAAUCUGGAGUUUCUGAUCCUGAGCAAGCAUCAAGUGACAGUGGGGAUGACUAUCUCAAUUUAACAGAAGAAAACCUCCAGCAGUUUGAGUCUGACAGGACAGAAACAAGACAUUAUAAAACACUGGGCCACACGUCUCUGUAUGGAAACUGACCAACCACAUCUGAUAAUGCUAGAGAGUAUGACCUGAAGACAAUAUUCAAAUAUUUUCAGGUGACUUGCAAGAAACUUGUUUGAAUAAUGGCCGUAGGGAGAAAGUUAUUUUUGUCCAAGUUACAUAGUGGGGUAUUAUAUUGGUGCAACUGAGAGUCUGUCCAAUGUUUCACUGGAUACAGAAGAAUCUGAGCAAGGAAGCCAAGUGUCUAUUGAUUAAGUAAUUAUUUCAGAAUAUUUGUUCAUCAGUGAGGUAUAGAUAAUGGAAAUACUAGUAUAAAGACAUUAGCAUAUGUCAAAAAACAUUUCAGCUUUCAUUUUUGAUUCCUGUACUGUCACAAUGGACUUUAGAUGGAUCACUUUAAUUCUUGUCACUCUAGCAGGUCCAGCGAGUCCAAACACAACAGCUCCAAAUCCAGCUACAGGUGCUCCAACCACAACAACAGC